CUGAGUUCAUGCCCUUACGGGUAGAUCUCCACCCUUGAAUAUAUACCUUUGUUGCUUUGGCAGGCCGCUUCAGCCACCGGCUCCGGCUGGUGAGUGCUUGCCAGAGGCUCCAAAACUCUGAAUUAUCAUGUCGUCUGAGUACUAUACAAUAGUUA
rnacentral:misc_RNA from 1 species